rnacentral:sRNA from 1 species
GGUGAUUAGUGACAGAGUGAGGGAGGGGGUGACUAGUGACAGGGAGGGGGUAACACAGUGACAGAGUAAGGGGGUGACUAGUGACAGAGUGAGGGAGUGGGUGACACAGUGACAGAGUUAGGGAGGGAGUAACUAGUGACAGAGAGAGGGAUGGGGUGACUGGUGACAGUCACCCCCCCCUCACUCUGUCACCAGUCAUCCCCUCACUCUGUCACUAGUCACCCCUUCCCUCCCUCACUCUGCCACUAGUCACCCAUUCCCUCACUCUGUCACUAGUCUCCCAUUCCCUCACUCUGUCACUAGUCUCCCAUUCCCUCCCUCUGUCACUAGUCUCCCCCUCUCCUUCCCUCUGUCACUAGUCACCCACUCCCUCACUCUGUCACCAGUUACCCCCACUCACUGU